UGUGUUUUUGGGACUUGAAAGCCAAGAAAGAUCCACAAACCCCGAACUGCCUCCUUUCUUUUCCCCUUCCCUUUCCUUCGCGUCGCUUCUCUCUCCUCUCCUCUCUUCAAUCUCGAUACGUAAAGUGAAGCUUUCCCCUCGUUAAUUGCUGGGUUGAGAAAGAAAGAGAGAGAGAGAGAGAGGGGGGGGGGGGGGAAAGGGGUGGUCGGGGCGGCAGAGGAGGAGGAGGCGAGGAUGGCGGGGGGGAGCGAGGAGCGGUGCUGUGAGGCGAUGUUCUGGGUGUACCUCAUCAUCAGCGUCGGCCUGGUCUUGUUCGCCGGCCUCAUGUCCGGUCUCACCCUCGGCCUCAUGUCCCUCAGCCUCGUCGACCUUGAGGUCCUCGUCAAGGCCGGCAAGCCCAAGGACCAGCUUCACGCCGCCAAGAUUCUGCCCGUGGUCAAGAAUCAGCACCUCCUCCUCUGCACCCUGCUCAUCGGCAACUCGCUCGCCAUGGAGGCGCUUCCCAUAUUUCUUGAUUCGCUCGUUCCGGCGUGGGGGGCCAUCCUAAUAUCCGUAACCCUAAUCCUGACCUUCGGCGAGAUAAUUCCUCAAGCUGUAUGUUCGCGGUAUGGGCUGAGCGUGGGAGCUAAAACUGCCGGAGUGGUUCGUCUGCUUCUUUUGAUCUUCUUUCCAGUGGCUUAUCCCAUUAGCAAGUUGCUGGACUGGCUACUGGGCAAGGGACAUGUUGCACUUAUGAGAAGAGCCGAACUGAAGACACUGGUGGAUAUGCACGGAAAUGAGGCAGGAAAGGGUGGGGAAUUGACUCAUGAUGAGACUACUAUUAUUGCUGGAGCUUUGGAGUUGACUCAAAAGACUGCACAAGAUUCAAUGACAACAAUAUCAGAGACCUUUUCGCUUGAUAUUAACUCUAAACUUGACAUGUACACUCUCGGUUUAAUCAUGAGUAAAGGACAUAGCCGUGUACCAAUCUACUCUGGCAGCCCAACAAACAUUAUAGGCCUUAUUUUGGUUAAGAAUUUGAUCACUUGCCGCCCUGAAGAUGAAGUUCCUAUAAGAAAUGUUACCAUAAGAAGGAUACCAAGGGUCUACGAUGACCUUCCUCUGUAUGACAUCCUGAAUGAAUUCCAGAAAGGCCACAGUCACAUGGCUGUGGUUGUUAAACGCAUAAAAGACAGUGACUUAACAACAGAAAAGAGCAAAACCAGUCCCUCAGAUAACAGAAUGGACCAGAGUAGGAACCACAAUGAAGCCCAUGGAGAUGGAUCUCUGUCAGUUAUGGCUGCGCAUUUGAAUAAUAUUACCAACGCGUCCCCUGUGAGUAGUAGUAUUCAGGGAUUUCACAGUCCUGUGAAGAGAAGCAACAUAGAUAAACAAGGAGAUUCACGCUCACAGGUCAAAAAAUUUGAACGAGGGCGACAUGACAAUAUCCUUGAUGUUAAUUCUGAUUCGCUUCCAAGUUAUUCAUUAGAUGAAGAAGUAGUUGGAAUUAUAACAAUGGAAGAUGUUAUGGAGGAAUUGCUACAGGAAGAGAUAUUGGAUGAGACAGACGAGUAUGUUGAUGUCCACAACAAGAUCAAGAUAAACAUGUUACCUACAAGAAGGUCAUCACCAAGAUCCUCUGGAAAUGUAUCUAUCUCUCAGUUUCCACGUCGAACUCCAACGGCAUCUCCACUGUCUCUCCUUCAAGAUGCUUCUGUAUCACGUUCACCUGUUUCUCAGUAUGCUCAAGUUCCUGGUCCAACACCAACCAUUACAAAAUCUGGACAGUCUUUAGCAAGUUCACCUGCACAUCACACAGGCCUUGGGCAGAACCUGUCAGCUUCAUAGCGAGUAAGUGAAAUAUUCUAUUUCUUUGGUUUUCUUUUCAGAAGGAUGAGAGCACCGAUUGUUUAUGCUUUGAAACUAAUCUCUUCUUGCUUCUUGUUCACAUGAGAAGUAUAGGAAAGAGGGUCCUGUAUCAUGGUGUAUGUUCUUAGUUCUCACAAAGCAUUCUUUGCAACGAUCAUCAUUUCAGUGUUCAAUAGCUGUUUUUUCAAUGAUUAUACACUCACAAAGGUUUCUACGAAAGAAGCUCAGGGAAAACGAAAAGUGUAGCUGCCUGUUCAGGUGAGCAGAAGUUAAUCAGCAUGACUAAAUUUUUUUGAAAUUUCUAUAUUGUGAUCAAAUUGUAGUUUUUGUUCGUUGAUGUGACCGUAACAUGUAUUUUACGUGGAAUGUGUAAUAUGUAUUAGUUGGAUCAGUGCUCAUAUUUUUCGAAGUAGCUGAAACAAUUGUUUCGUGUGGAGACAUCA